rnacentral:rRNA from 1 species
GACGAACGCUGGCGGCGUGCCUAAUACAUGCAAGUCGAGCGAAGUUUUUCCGGUGCUUGCACCGGAAAAACUUAGCGGCGAACGGGUGAGUAACACGUAAAGAACCUGCCUCAUAGACUGGGACAACUAUUGGAAACGAUAGCUAAUACCAGAUAAGAGCAUUAACUGCAUGGUUGAUGUUUAAAAGUUGGUUUUGCUAACACUAUGAGAUGGCUUUGCGGUGCAUUAGCUAGUUGGUGGGGUAAAGGCCUACCAAGGCGACGAUGCAUAGCCGACCUGAGAGGGUGAUCGGCCACACUGGGACUGAGACACGGCCCAGACUCCUACGGGAGGCAGCAGUAGGGAAUCUUCCGCAAUGGGCGAAAGCCUGACGGAGCAACGCCGCGUGAGUGAAGAAGGAUUUCGGUUCGUAAAGCUCUGUUGUUAGGGAAGAAUGAUUGUGUAGUAACUAUACACAGUAGAGACGGUACCUAACCAGAAAGCCACGGCUAACUACGUG